UUGGCUCAGAACGAACGCUGGCGGCAGGCCUAACACAUGCAAGUCGAGCGGAUGAGAGGAGCUUGCUCCUCGAUUCAGCGGCGGACGGGUGAGUAAUGCCUAGGAAUCUGCCUAGUAGUGGGGGACAACGUUUCGAAAGGAACGCUAAUACCGCAUACGUCCUACGGGAGAAAGUGGGGGAUCUUCGGACCUCACGCUAUUAGAUGAGCCUAGGUCGGAUUAGCUAGUUGGUAGGGUAAAGGCCUACCAAGGCGACGAUCCGUAACUGGUCUGAGAGGAUGAUCA
rnacentral:rRNA from 1 species